UGGAACCUAUAAAUAUCAUUCAAUGGUGGGCGCCAAGAUCCCUCUGGGAUCUCUUGUUCCUUAUGUUUUUAAAGAUUUGUCAAUGAAAAUUGUGUGGUGCUGCAAGGAAAUAUUUUCAGUUUGUUUCCGUGACUAAUCUAUAAUAUCGGAGGUUGUUACACACCAGCUUCUCUGUAGUCCAUGGUGGUCCUACUAGGGAAGCUUCACUUGUGUCUAAUUUGAAAUGUUAUGUGUCUGUCUUGUCAAAGAAUAUAUUCACUGUGAAGUUUUGUGUAAAUUUGACCUAUUAUUGAUCAUGUAAGGUUACAUUACACUAUUUACCUGAUUUUUUCUCCAUCAAAAAUCUUCACAUUCUUAUUUUUGUUUUAAGAUAUAAGAUCAAAGUCAAAAAACAUAAUAGUGUACUAAAAGUAAGGGAACAAAGUUUACUUAUAAAUGUGUCAAAUUUUCAAUCAGACCAGUCUACUUGAAUCAUAUUUUGAAGAUUUUAAGGGAUUAUAUAUAAUUUUUUCUUUUUUUUUUUAAACUGACAAUUGUUGAAUUUGGACCAAAAAUUAUACGUCACAAUUAUAACAGUAUACUCAACAUUUGGAUAUCAUUGGUACUGAUGACAUGAUGUGGUUAUUAUAAUAAUGUCUUAAUUCAGUGUAGCUGUAAUAAUUCAUCGUUCACUGAUGUAGGAGACUUUGGAUUGGAGCUAAAUGAAAAAGAAUAAAGAAACAGAUUAAUUAUUUAUCACUGUUUACAUACACAUCUUUGUUGAAAAAUGUAACAAUGUUUGUGAUUGGUUGUUAUAACAAGUUGUUUGAUUGGUUGAUAUUAUUCACGAUGUUGCAUAGAUAUAUAAUUGUAUAAUCAUGUUAUUGUAUUGUUUCCAUUAUCCUUUAUUCUUUUCACUUCAAGAUACAAAACAUAUGAUAAAGUGUGGUUUAUAAAUCACACCUCCAUGUUGACGUUUGGUGUAAACGCAAAAUUAAUAAAUACCAAUACUAAAUAAAUGUACUAUUAUCAUCAACAUACAGCUAUAAGAUGGUGCAGUAACAUAAAAUAUAUAGCCAGGGAUUAAUCUAGAAUUUAGGGGAAACUACCCUUUUUGGACCAUAGGGGAAAAUCAGCUCGGAAAAGGGGAAAUUUAAUCAUCACAUGAAUUAAGUCUUUUACUUUAAAAACACAUUUUCCAAGUAAAAACAGCAAAUGGUUAAUUAGGAAAGCAAAUCUUGAGUAUUUGGGAAUAUCAUUGCCAUAAAAAUGAGGGAAAAUACAAUAUUUCAGUGAAUUUAACAGAAAUCUGAGGGGAAAAAUGGAACAAAAUCCUGAGGGGAAACUACCCAUAAAUGGUAGUAAAACAUCCCUAGAUUAAGUCUCUUAGGGAAUUAAUACUUGUUUAUAAUGUGUAGUGUUAAGGUACAGAACACUAUUUACAUGACAAACAGCAUUGCCAGUAGGGGAGGCACUCAAAUCCUCUUAUAAUCAGGAUGUUAGGGGAUCAAAUCCCUGUGGCUGGUUAGUAUUGGAGUUAAAUUAUUAUUAUCUUUAAUACAGAUUUGUAUGUUUAUUUCUUUUAGCCACAUGAACAACCAGAGAGAUUGCAUGGUGUUAAAAGUAUCGCCCAAAAACAUCCAUGACAGUACAAGCAGUCUGUGAUUUCAGUUUUCCUGAGAAACUCAAAGUAAACAAAUACAGAACAAUAUAAACAUUACCGUUAUUAGAUAUACGGGACAAAAGACAGACAACUCAAAGUAAACAAAUACAGAACGAUAUAUAAACAUUACCGUUAUUAGAUAUAUAUGGGACAAAAGACAGACAACUCAAAGUAAACAAAUACAGAACAAUAUAAACAUUACCGUUAUAGAUAUACGGGACAAAAGACAGACAACUCAAAGUAAAUAAUUACAGAACAAUAUAAACAUUACCGUUAUUAGAUAUACGGGACAAAAGACAGACAACUCAAAGUAAACAAUUACAGAACAAUAUAAACAUUACCGUUAUAGAUAUACGGGACAAAAGACAGACAACUCAAAGUAAACAAAUACAGAACAAUAUAAACAUUACCGUUAUAGAUAUACGGGACAAAAGACAGACAACUCAAAGUAAACAAAUACAGAACAAUAUAAACAUUACCGUUAUAGAUAUACGGGACAAAAGACUGACAACUCAAAGUAAACAAUUACAGAACAAUAUAAACAUUACCGUUAUAGAUAUACGGGACAAAAGACAGACAACUCAAAGUAAACAAUUACAGAACAAUAUAAACAUUACCGUUAUAGAUAUACGGGACAAAAGACUGACAACUCAAAGUAAACAAAUACAGAACAAUAUAAACAUUACCGUUAUUAGAUAUACGGGACAAAAGACAGACAACUCAAAGUAAACAAAUACAGAACAAUAUAAACAUUACCGUUAUUAGAUAUACGGGACAAAAGACUGACAACUCAAAGUAAACAAAUACAGAACAAUAUAAAAAUUACCGUUAUUAGAUAUACGGGACAAAAGACAGACAACUCAAAGUAAACAAAUACAGAACAAUAUAAACAUUACCGUUAUUAGAUAUACGGGACAAAAGACUGACAACUCAAAGUAAACAAAUACAGAACAAUAUAAAAAUUACCGUUAUUAGAUAUACGGGACAAAAGACAGACAACUCAAAGUAAACAAAUACAGAACAAUAUAAACAUUACCGUUAUUAGAUAUACGGGACAAAAGACUGACAACUCAAAGUAAACAAAUACAGAACAAUAUAAACAUUACCGUUAUUAGAUAUACGGGACAAAAGACAGACAACUCAAAGUAAACAAAUACAGAACAAUAUAAACAUUACCGUUAUUAGAUAUACGGGACAAAAGACUGACAACUCAAAGUAAACAAAUACAGAACAAUAUAAAAAUUACCGUUAUUAGAUAUACGGGACAAAAGACAGACAACUCAAAGUAAACAAAUACAGAACAAUAUAAACAUUACCGUUAUAGAUAUACGGGACAAAAGACUGACAACUCAAAGUAAACAAUUACAGAACAAUAUAAACAUUACCGUUAUUAGAUAUACGGGACAAAAGACAGACAACUCAAAGUAAACAAAUACAGAACAAUAUAAACAUUACCGUUAUUAGAUAUACGGGACAAAAGACAGACAACUCAAAGUAAACAAAUACUGAACAAUAUAAACAUUACCGUUAUUAGAUAUACGGGACAAAAGACAGACAACUCAAAGUAAACAAAUACUGAACAAUAUAAACAUUACCGUUAUUAGAUAUACGGGACAAAAGACAGACAACUCAAAGUAAACAAAUACAGAACAAUAUAAAAAUUACAGUUAUUAGAAAAACGGGACAAAAGACAGACAACUCAAAGUAAACAAAUACAGAACAAUAUAAACAUUACCGUUAUUAGAUAUACCGGACAAAAGACAGACAACUCAAAGUAAACAAAUACAGAACAAUAUAAACAUUACCGUUAUUAGAUAUACGGGACAAAAGACAGACAACUCAAAGUAAACAAAUACAGAACAAUAUAAACAUUACCGUUAUUAGAUAUACGGGACAAAAGACAGACAACUCAAAGUAAACAAAUACAGAACAAUAUAAAAAUUACAGUUAUUAGAAAAACGGGACAAAAGACAGACAACUCAAAGUAAACAAAUACAGAACAAUAUAAACAUUACCGUUAUUAGAUAUACGGGACAAAAGACAGACAACUCAAAGUAAACAAAUACAGAACAAUAUAAAAAUUACAGUUAUUAGAAAAACGGGACAAAAGACAGACAACUCAAAGUAAACAAAUACAGAACAAUAUAAAAAUUACAGUUAUUAGAAAAACGGGACAAAAGACAGACAACUCAAAGUAAACAAAUACAGAACAAUAUAAACAUUACCGUUAUUAGAGAUACGUGAAACUAUAGCUGCAUGGUUGUCUGAAGAUAGAAAUAUCUAAUUUUAUUUCAUACUGAAUCACACAGAUUCACGUUGUUUAAAAUUUCUAAAAAUAGAGUCAUACUUAGGUGGUCUGUAAUAUGAUGACUGUGUAACUGAUAAAAACUACACAUUUUUGUAUACUCUGAUGAACUCUAGUCAUUUAAAUCUCAGGACAACAGUUAUAAGAUGUCACUCAGGUUAGUAACGAGAACAGAAAUAUGCCAGUAAAUGUUUUAUUGCAGUAAACAUUUUGUAUUUAGUAUUACCCACUGUAGUUGAGCCGAAAUAUACCAUGACAGUGUAUUAGUAUAGUUGGUCAUACUAACACAUCAUGUUACUUCUGGUAACCAUAGCGAUACAGUUAAUAAUAUGUUAGGGAGUGUAGGUACACCUACUGUUACUAAUUAAAAUACACAGGUGUGUCAACAAUCUACUGUUACUAAUUAAAAUACACAGGUGUGUCAACAAUCUACUGUUACUAAUUAAAAUACACAGGUGUGUCAACAAUCUACUGUUACUAAUUAAAAUACACAGGUGUGUCAACAAUCUACUGUAGGGAGUGUAGGUUCAUAUACUGUAACUAAUUAAAAUACACAGGUGUGUCAACAAUCUACUGUAACUAAUUAAAAUACACAGGUGUGUCAACAAUCUACUGUAACUAAUUAAAAUACACAGGUGUGUCAACAAUCUACUGUAACUAAUUAAAAUACACAGGUGUGUCAACAAUCUACUGUAACUAAUUAAAAUACACAGGUGUGUCCACAAUCUACUGUAACUAAUUAAAAUACACAGGUGUGUCAACAAUCUACUGUAGGGAGUGUAUAGGUACAUCUAUUGUUACUAAUUAAAAUACACAGGUGUGUAAACAAUCUACUGUUACUAAUUAAAAUACACAGGUGUGUCAACAAUCUACUGUUACUAAUUAAAAUACACAGGUGUAGCUACAUCUACUGUUACUAAUUAAGAAACACAGGUGUGUCAACAAUCUACUGUUACUAAUUAAAAUACACAGGUGUGUCAACAAUCUACUGUUACUAAUUAAAAUACACAGGUGUGUCAACAAUCUACUGUUACUAAUUAAAAUACACAGGUGUGUCAACAAUCUACUGUAGGGAGUGUAUAGGUACAUCUACUGUUACUAAUUAAAAUACACAGGUGUGUCAACAAUCUACUGUGACUAAUUAAAAUACACAGGUGUGUCAACAAUCUACUGUGACUAAUUAAAAUACACAGGUGUGUCAACAAUCUACUGUUACUAAUUAAAAUACACAGGUGUGUCAACAAUCUACUGUGACUAAUUAAAAUACACAGGUGUGUCAACAAUCUACUGUUACUAAUUAAAAUACACAGGUGAGACAACAAUCUACUGUAGGGAGUGUAGGUACAUCUACUGUUACUAAUUAAAAUACACAUGUGUGUCAACAAUCUACUGUGACUAAUUAAAAUACACAGGUGUGUCAACAAUCUACUGUUACUAAUUAAAAUACACAGGUGAGACAACAAUCUACUGUAGGGAGUGUAUAAGUACAUCUACUGUUACUAAUCAUGACACUAAUUGACAUUAUAUAAGUUUAAUUAAUACACCUGAACAAUAAAUAGGUUAACAUUACCUGGAAAAGAAACAAUCAUCGUCAAUGGCCAACAUGUCAAUUCUACUCGACAGUCCAAGUUGUUGUGGUCGGGGGAUUUCACAAAGUUAAGUCUACCCUAGAUUGUUUCCAGGAAAGAUUAAAUUGGUGAAAGUUGGAAUGAUUCAGUGAUAGAUAGUAUGGGUCUCUCGUACAGCUCAUUCUACCUGUGGAAUGGUUCAGUGAUAGAUAGUAUGGGUCUCUCGUACAGCUCAUUCUACCUGAUGAAAUAUGUCAAUACUGUAUGUUUCAUGCAGUGAGUUGUUUACCAUGUAUUUCAUCUUUUACAUACUAUAUAGAUUUGUUUGAUUUUUUGUAUUGACAAUGAUUUACACAUACAUUCUGUUAUUGUUUCAUUAUCUCAGUAUCUUGGUCAUUGUUAUACACAAGGUCAUUGUUAUACCCACAGUCAUUGUUAAAACAUUGUUAUACACUAGGUCAUUGUUAUACAAUUUAUCAUUGUAUUGUCGUAAACAUUUGUUUGGUUCAUUUUUAAAGCUUACUCAAAUAUAGAAUGUUAAACUUCCUGGAAAGAUGAUCUGUUUGUUUCAAUUUAUAUGUAAAAGUGAGAAUUUAGGAAUUUUAUACAAAGUUAGAGAAAUUUCAAAAUUAAAAUGUUAUUUGGAAGAUGAACAAUACAAACAUCAGGAUGGAUGAAAUGCCGUUAUAAGAUUGACAUAUAUUUUGUACUUGAUAAAUUUUAUUCAUCAUGUGAUAAUUGUUUGUUGAUGUUGUGUCCUGUGAAUAGUCCUGAUAAAAUUGUUAUAAUGAGGUCAAGGUUACAGUUAGGGUCAUAUGAUAUAUAAUUGUUAUAAUAAGGUCAAGGUUACAGUAAGGGUCAUAUGCUAUAUAACUGUUAUAAUAAGGUCAAGGUUACAGUUAGGGUCAUAUGCUAUAUAACUGUUAUAAUUAGGUUAAGGUUACAGUUAGGGUCAUAUGAUAUAUAAUUGUUAUAAUUAGGUCAAGGUUACAGUUAGGGUCAUAUGAUAUAUAACUGUUAUAAUAAGGUCAAGGUUACAGUUAGGGUCAUAUGAUAUAUAAUUGUUAUAAUAAGGUCAAGGUUACAGUUAGGGUCAUAUGCUAUAUAACUGUUAUAAUUAGGUCAAGGUUACAGUUAGGGUCAUAUGAUAUAUAAUUGUUAUAAUAAGGUCAAGGUUACAGUUCAGGUCAUAUGCUAUAUAACUGUUAUAAUUAGGUCAAGGUUACAGUUAGGGUCAUAUGAUAUAUAACUGUUAUAACUAGGUCAAGAUUACAGUUAGGGUCAUAUGAUAUAUAACUGUUAUAACUAGGUCAAGAUUACAGCUAUUGUCAGGAUACAAUUGCAGUAGUAAGGUGAAAGUUGCAAUUAUGGUCAUGAUACAAUUGUAGUAAUUUGGUCAAGGUCACAGAUUAGGCUUAGGUCACAGUUAUGGUCAUGAUACAAUUGCAAUAAUUAGGUCAAGGUAACAAUGAAAUCAAGUUUUAUGGGAGGUGACUAUGUGCGUACAUGAUUGAUAUCUUGUAAGGCCAUCUUGAAUAUUAUUGAUUUAUGUGUCAAAUAAUUUGAUAAAUGUUAAUUAAUAUGGUGUUUAAGUCUGAAACUAAAUAUGGCAGGUUUCACUGAUUGGAGUAUUGUUUGCCAUUAAUGAUUCACUGUACUAAGUUUUCUUUGCCUCAAACUCUAAAAAAGUUAUAACUAAUAAACCAUGCAGUAUUGUCAGUGCUAUUUUCAAGCUGUAAUUUAUUGAAAUAACUUGCGAUUCUCUGUUCUCAUUGAGAACUACCUGUACGUGUAAAUUUUAUCAAAGACAUGAGUUGAAGGAGAAAAUAAACAUGUAUACCUGGUCAUGUAUACCUGGUUUAUAGUUUUGCUUUAAAAAAGACAGGACAGCUUUGUUUGAAAGUUUUCUAUUAAAAAUGGUAUGAAAACGUUUUUUUUUUCUUUUUCAAAAUUGACAGGGAAAAAAAAGAAUAUAUUUUUGUCUCAGUAAUUGAUUAGGAGAUACCAAUUACCUAUAAGUCCACAUAAUAACCCAUGCUUAUUGUUAUUGUUCUUUUUAAUGUAUUGUUUUCAUUGAAAAGAAAGAUAAGAGGGGGACUGGUAUGGUAUUAGUUACUGUUAAUGGAGUGAGUCGUGUUGAUCUAUGACACAAGGUCAAAGUCUAUUGGAUGAAUUCACUCUUUCCACCUUUUACGCCACUUGUACUACGUGGCAGUCCCCUAAAGAUCCAAGUCUGUUGGGUCACUCUUUCCACCUUCCCAAUGUAUAUACAUGACCAAAUGUAUUAGUAAUAUUAUAGGGCGUACUAUUGUUUGAGAUAACAUUGUUGUGUACACUAGCUGAGCUAAUGGUGCUUUAACGAUUAUUACUAAUUAAUGUGAUGUAUAUUUUAAAAACCUCACAGAUUAGUUUUAAAUAUUGUUUAUAUAGUGUUUGUCUAGAUUGUCUGGCUAUUGCUUAGAAGAAAAACUAAUCCGAAAAAUAGCACAUAUUACCAUUUAUAACUUUAUAUGUACAAUUAUUAAAUACCGAGUAAUAUUGUCAUUUGUUUGAUAAUUAGAAGAAUCCAGGAUUUUAUAUCUGAUUCAGAAAACAUUUGUAUUAUAUAUACUACUGGUGUUCCUUCAAUAUAAGGACAAUAUAAACCUUUUUUUCCCUCUUCUCUCAAUGUGGCAAUUACAGAAAAGAACCUGCAAAACAGCUGAAAUCCAUUAUUUAUUUGUGUGGCUCUAGUUACUGUUUUUUUUAUCUGUCAUCCUGCCACACAAUAAAACCUACAUCAAACCCCUCUGUCUAUUAUAUUGACAUAAUCGUGCUCAAAAUGAUGAUAAAUUUGACAAUCAGUGAAUUAAUAGCUUUAUAGUCAGUUUGAUGUAACUUUCCUCUGAAAAACACACUCAAGCAUUCAUACAGCCAUUCAUAUAGCCACGGAUAAGAAUCUAGAUAACUAAGGUCCAUUGGAUGUAUAUACUUAAACACCAAACAUUUCACAGAGUAUUUUUUUAAACAUAAACAAAUGUGAUAUGUUAGCAUGUUUGUAUUAAAUAUCAAGAAUCCAUUUUAUCCAAGAGUACUAGUUUAAUGGAUAAAUAGCUCAGUAAUAAUGUGGACAUUUUCCCUGGAAGUUUUCCGAUCUGCCAUAUCCUCCCCAUAUCUGCUAGUGUAGAUCUGUUUUUGAUUUUAAUAUUGUUUAAUUAAUAUAUACAAACAGGAAAUUAACAAGAAUUGUUAUGUUUAGUCCUCUGUGUUCCGCCCGCCACAAUUUGAAAGUCUUAUAUAUGUAUAUGUGACUUAAAGAGAUAUCACUUUUCAUUAUUGUUGGUAUACAGUUGGUUGUUUGUAUUAUAAAAAUCACGAUAAUGUUCAUAUCUCUAGAUGUUCUCUAGAUCACGAUAAUGUUCAUAUCUCUAGAUGUUCUCUAGAUCAUGAUAAUGUUCAUAUCUCUAGAUGUUCCAGAACGUCAAGGUUUGACCUCAACACAAAUAUUAAGGCUGUCAGGCACCAGUAAUCUAUCAAUCUGGUUGUCUGAUAAUCUGUUGGAACAGAUUGGCCAAUAAUCUGGUGGUCUGUCAAUCUAUUAGAACAGAUUGGCCAAUAAUCUUGUUGCCCGACAAUCUGUUCGAACAGAUUGGCCAAUAAUCUUGUUGUCCGAUAAUCUGUUGGAACAGAUUGGCAAAUAAUCUUGUUGCCUGAUUAUCUGUUGGAACAGAUUGGCCAAUAAUCUUGUUGCCCGACAAUCUGUUCGAACAGAUUGGCCAAUAAUCUGGUGGUCUGUCAAUCUAUUAGAACAGAUUGGCCAAUAAUCUUGUUGCCCGACAAUCUGUUCGAACAGAUUGGCCAAUAAUCUUGUUGUCCGAUAAUCUGUUGGAACAGAUUGGCAAAUAAUCUUGUUGCCUGAUUAUCUGUUGGAACAGAUUGGCCAAUAAUCUUGUUGUCCGACAAUCUGUUCGAACAGAUUGGCCAAUAAUCUGGUUGUCUGACAAUUCAUUGGAACAGAUUGGCCAAUAAUCUUGUUGUCCGACAAUCUCUUGGAACAGAUUGGCCAAUAAUCUGGUUGUCUGACAAUCUCUUGGAACAGAUUGGCCAAUAAUCUUGUUGCCCGACAAUCUCUUGGAACAGAUUGGCCAAUAAUCUGGUUGUCUGACAAUCUCUUGGAACAGAUUGGCCAAUAAUCUUGUUGCCCGACAAUCUCUUGGAACAGAUUGGCCAAUAAUCUGAUUGUCUGACAAUCAAUUGGAACAGAUUGGCCAAUAAUCUUGUUGUCCGACAAUUCCAUUGGAACAGAUUGGCCAAUAAUCUUGUUGUCCGACAAUUCCAUUGGAACAGAUUGGCCAAUAAUCUUGUUGUCCGACAAUCGGUUUGAACAGACUGGCCAAUAAUCUGGUUGUCUGACAAUUCAUUGGAACAGAUUGGCCAAUAAUCUUGUUGCCCGAUAAUCUGUUGGAACAGAUUGGCCAAUAAUCUGGUUGUCUGACAAUUCAUUGGAACAGAUUGGCCAAUUAUCUGGUUGUCUGAUAAUCUGUUGGAACAGUUUAACCAAUAAUCUGGUUGUCGGAUUUGCCAAUGAGUGGUUAUCUGACCAGCAUGUGUAACAGACUGGCCAAUAAUUUGGUUGUCUUUAACUUGUUGUCAGACCAACAUUUGUAACUAAUUAACAGAUAAUCUGGUUGUCUGAUAGACUAGCAAUUUGGCCAUUUUAUGGAAUUUUUACUGUACAAUCUUUUUCCAGGAAUGGAUGUGAUUGGAUUAUAGAGGCUCUGUUUAAGAAUGUUCCAGUUGUCUUUUCACACAAUAUUUGUUGUAAAUAAAACAGUGCUACAAUGUGAUUAGUUAAAUAUAACUCUCAGAUUUAUCAUAUUUUUAUCAAUAUUGUUUGUUGUUUUUGUGGAAAAAUCUGGAAUAUGCGAUUUUUUUCUCAUUUAAUUAAAAUAAUGAUGUAUACUAAAAUAUUGACAAUUAAAUGUUUUUAUGAACAAGA